GAUGAACGCUGGCGGCGUGCCUAAUACAUGCCAGUCGAGCGAACAGACGAGGAGCUUGCUCCUCUGACGUUAGCGGCGGACGGGUGAGUAACACGUGGAUAACCUACCUAUAAGACUGGGAUAACUUCGGGAAACCGGUGCUAAUACCGGAUAAUAUAUUGAACCGCAUGGUUCAAUAGUGAAAGACGGUUUUGCUGUCACUUAUAGAUGGAUCCGCGCCGCAUUAGCUAGUUGGUAAGGUAACGGCUUACCAAGGCAACGAUGCGUAGCCGACCUGAGAGGGUGAUCGGCCACACUGGAACUGAGACACGGUCCAGACUCCUACGGGAGGCAGCAGUAGGGAAUCUUCCGCAAUGGGCGAAAGCCUGACGGAGCAACGCCGCGUGAGUGAUGAAGGUCUUCGGAUCGUAAAACUCUGUUAUUAGGGAAGAACAAAUGUGUAAGUAACUAUGCACGUCUUGACGGUACCUAAUCAGAAAGCCACGGCUAACUACGUG
rnacentral:rRNA from 1 species